UACGUAGGGGGCAAGCGUUGUCCGGAAUCAUUGGGCGUAAAGCGCGCGUAGGCGGCUCGAUCAGUCUGCUGUAAAAGUCAAAGGCUCAACCUUUGAAUGCCGGUGGAUACUGUCGGGCUAGAGUCCGGAAGAGGCGAGUGGAAUUCCUGGUGUAGCGGUGGAAUGCGCAGAUAUCAGGAGGAACACCAAUAGCGAAGGCAGCUCGCUGGGACGGUACUGACGCUAAGGCGCGAAAGCGUGGGGAGCGAACAGG
rnacentral:rRNA from 1 species